rnacentral:rRNA from 1 species
ACUUCGGUAAAGAGCGGCGGACGGGUGAGUAACGCGUGGGUAACCUGCCCUAUACACACGGAUAACAUACCGAAAGGUAUGCUAAUACGAGAUGACAUAAGGGAUUCGCAUGGAUUUCUUAUCAAAGCUUUUGCGGUAUAGGAUGGACCCGCGUCUGAUUAGCUAGUUGGUAAGGUAACGGCUUACCAAGGCGACGAUCAGUAGCCGACCUGAGAGGGUGAUCGGCCACAUUGGAACUGAGACACGGUCCAAACUCCUACGGGAGGCAGCAGUGGGGAAUAUUGCACAAUGGGCGAAAGCCUGAUGCAGCAACGCCGCGUGAGCGAUGAAGGCCUUCGGGUCGUAAAGCUCUGUCCUCAAGGAAGAUAAUGACGGUACUUGAGGAGGAAGCCCCGGCUAACUACGUGCCAACAGCCGCGGUAAUACGUAGGGGGCUAGCGUUAUCCGGAUUUACUGGGCGUAAAGGGUGCGUAGGUGGUUUCUUAAGUCAGAGGUGAAAGGCUACGGCUCAACCGUAGUAAGCCUUUGAAACUGAGAAACUUGAGUGCAGGAGAGGGGAGUAGAAUUCCUAGUGUAGCGGUGAAAUGCGUAGAUAUUAGGAGGAAUACCAGUUGCGAAGGCGGCUCUCAGGACUGUAACUGACACUGAGGCACGAAAGCGUGGGGAGCAAACAGGAUUAGAUACCCUGGUAGUCCACGCCGUAAACGAUGAGUACUAGCUGUCGGAGGUUACCCCCUUCGGUGGCGCAGCUAACGCAUUAAGUACUCCGCCUGGGAAGUACGCUCGCAAGAGUGAAACUCAAUGGAAUUGACGGGGACCCGCACAAGUAGCGGAGCAUGUGGUUUAAUUCGAAGCAACGCGAAGAACCUUACCUAAGCUUGACAUCCUUCUGACCUCACCCUAAUCGGAGAUUUCCCUUCGGGGACAGAAGUGACAGGUGGUGCAUGGUUGUCGUCAGCUCGUGUCGUGAGAUGUUGGGUUAAGUCCCGCAACGAGCGCAACCCUUGCCUUUAGUUGCCAGCAUUAAGUUGGGCACUCUAGAGGGACUGCCAGGGAUAACCUGGAGGAAGGUGGGGAUGACGUCAAAUCAUCAUGCCCCUUAUGCUUAGGGCUACACACGUGCUACAAUGGGUGGUACAGAGGGCAGCCAAGUCGUGAGGCGGAGCUAAUCCCUUAAAGCCAUUCUCAGUUCGGAUUGUAGGCUGAAACUCGCCUACAUGAAGCUGGAGUUACUAGUAAUCGCAGAUCAGAAUGCUGCGGUGAAUGCGUUCCCGGGUCUUGUACACACCGCCCGUCACACCAUGGGAGUUGGGGGCGCCCGAAGCCGGUUAGCUAACCUUUUAGGAAGCGGCCGUCGAAGGUGAAACCAAUAACUGGGGUGAAGUCGGAACAAGGUA